rnacentral:rRNA from 1 species
GAUGAACGCUGGCGGCGUGCUUAACACAUGCAAGUCGAACGAAGCGAUUGUGAUUGAGAUUUCGGUUGAUUGAUCAAUUGACUUAGUGGCGGACGGGUGAGUAACGCGUGGGUAACCUGCCUCGUACAGGGGGAUAACAGUUGGAAACGACUGCUAAUACCGCAUAAUGUUAUUUGGGGGCAUCCCUGAAUAACCAAAGAUUUAUUGCUGAAAGAUGGUCUCGCGUCUGAUUAGCUAGUUGGUGAGGUAACGGCUCACCAAGGCGACGAUCAGUAGCCGGUCUGAGAGGAUGAACGGCCACAUUGGGACUGAGAUACGGCCCAG